GGGGAUGUGGCUUAGUGGUAGAGUGCUUGCCUAGCAUGCAUGAAGCCCUGGGUUCAAUUCCUCAGUACUA
rnacentral:tRNA from 1 species